rnacentral:misc_RNA from 1 species
CCGAGUUUACAACUCCCAAACCCAUGUGAACAUACCUAUGUUGCUUCGGCGGGAUCGCCCCGGGCGCCUUGCGUGCCCCGGAUCCAGGCACCCGCCGGGGGACCUCAACUCUUGUUUUACUUUAGUAUCUUCUGAGUAACGUUUUUAAAUAAAUAA